rnacentral:rRNA from 1 species
GGUACUUGUACCUGGUGGCGAGCGGCGGACGGGUGAGUAAUGCCUAGGAAUCUGCCUGGUAGUGGGGGAUAACGCUCGGAAACGGCAGCUAAUACCGCAUACGUCCUACGGGAGAAAGCAGGGGACCUUCGGGCCUUGCGCUAUCAGAUGAGCCUAGGUCGGAUUAGCUAGUUGGUGAGGUAAUGGCUCACCAAGGCGACGAUCCGUAACUGGUCUGAGAGGAUGAUCAGUCACACUGGAACUGAGACACGGUCCAGACUCCUACGGGAGGCAGCAGUGGGGAAUAUUGGACAAUGG